rnacentral:lncRNA from 1 species
AUGCGCCGAGGGCGGGGCCACCAGUCCGGGGGCAGAGACCGAGACGAGGCAGGAACCAGAGGCGAAGACAGACGUGGGGACGAGACAGGAACCGAUGCAGGUGCGGCCGGAGCCGAGCCGCCAGGAACCGAUGCAGGUGCGGCCGGAGCCGAGCCGCCAGGAACCGAUGCAGGUGCGGCCGGAGCCGAGCCGCCAGGAACCGAUGCAGGUGCGGCCGGAGCCGAGCCGCCAGGAACCGAUGCAGGUGCGGCCGGAGCCGAGCCGCCAGGAACCGAUGCAGGUGCGGCCGGAGCCGAGCCGCCAGGAACCGAUGCAGGUGCGGCCGGAGCCGAGCCGCCAGGAACCGAUGCAGGUGCGGCCGGAGCCGAGCCGCCAGGAACCGAUGCAGGUGCGGCCGGAACGACACCCUCCUGGAGGUGGGCAGGAACUAUGACGGGCGCGACCCCCUCCUGGAGGUCCGCCGGGACUGCGACGGGCGCGACCCCCUCCUGGGGGUCGACGGGAACUACGACGGGCGCGACCCCCUCCUGGAGGUCGACAGGAACUACGACGGGCGCGACCCCCUCCUGGAGGUCCGCCGGGACUGCGACGGGCGCGACCCCCUCCUGGGGGUCGACGGGAACUACGACGGGCGCGACCCCCUCCUGGAGGUCCGCCGGGACUGCGACGGGCGCGACCCCCUCCUGGGGGUCCGCCGGGACUGCGACGGGCGCGACCCCCUCCUGGAGAUCCGCCGGGACCGCGACGGGCGCGACCCCCUCCUGGAGGUCCGCCGGAACUGCGGCUGGCGCGACCCCCUCCUGGAGGUCCGCCGGGACUGCGGCUGGCGCGACCCCCUCCUGGAGGUCCGCCGGAACUGCGGCUGGCGCGACCCCCUCCUGGAGGUCCGCCGGAACUGCGGCUGGCGCGACCCCCUCCUGGAGGUCCGCCGGGACUGCGGCUGGCGCGACCCCCUCCUGGAGGUGCGCGGGAACUGCGGCUGGCGCGACCCCCUCCUGGAGGCGCGCGGGAACUGCGGCUGGCGCGACCUCCUCCUGGAGGUGCGCGGGGACUGCAGCCGGCGCGACCUCCUCCUGGAGGUGCGCGGGGACUGCAGCUGGCGCGACCUCCUCCUGGAGGUGCGCGGGGACUGCAGCUGGCGCGACCUCCUCCUGGAGGUGCGCGGGGACUGCAGCUGGCGCGGCCUCCUCCUGGGGAUGCGCGGGGACUGCAGCUGGCGCGGCCUCCUCCUGGAGGUGCGCGGGGACUGCAGCUGGCGCGGCCUCCUCCUGGAGGUGCGCGGGGGCUGCAGCUGGCGCCGCCUCCUCCUGGAGGCCGGCGGGCGCUGCGGCUCCGAGGGUGACAGGAACUGGAACGGUCGCAACAUGGCCGACAGGGACAGGAACAGGGACUGGAACGACCGCAACAUGGCCGACAGGGACUGGAACGGCAACUACUUGGCCGACAGGGACUGGAACGGCAACUACUUGGCCGACAGGGACUGGAACGGCAUCUACUUGGCCGACAGGGACUGGAACGGCAUCUACUUGGCCGACAGGGACUGGAACGGCACCUACUUGGCCGACAGGGACUGGAACGGCAACUACUUGGCCGACAGGGACAGGAACAGGGACUGGAACGGCCGCAACAUGGCCGACAGGGACUGGAACGGCAACUACUUGGCCGACAGGGACUGGAACGGCAACUACUUGGCCGACAGGGACUGGAACGGCAUCUACUUGGCCGACAGGGACUGGGACGGCAUCUACUUGGCCGACAGGGACUGGAACGGCAUCUACUUGGCCGACAGGGACUGGAACGGCAUCUACUUGGCCGACAGGGACUGGAACGGCAUCUACUUGGCCGACAGGGACUGGAACGGCACCUACUUGGCCGACAGGGACUGGAACGGCACCUACUUGGCCGACAGGGACGGGGACGGCGUCCCCUCCGGAGCCGGCAUGGCUGCUUACAGCUGCCGAGCUCGACGGAGGAGACGUCGGGCCUGAUCGGGUGUGCCUAGCACCCGUUCGACAAGUGGUGCCCUCUGGUUGGGACACGACCUGCGCGUGA